UACAGAGGGUGCGAGCGUUGUCCGGAAUCACUGGGCGUAAAGGGCGCGUAGGUGGUGGCUUAAGCGUGCGGUGAAAGCUCGGGGCUCAACCCCGAGUCGGCCGUGCGAACUGGGCUCACUGGAGCAUAGUAGAGGCAGGUGGAAUUCCGGGUGUAGCGGUGGAAUGCGUAGAGAUCCGGAAGAACACCGGUGGCGAAGGCGGCCUGCUGGGCAACAACUGACGCUGAGGAGCGAAAGCGUGGGGAGCGAACAGG
rnacentral:rRNA from 1 species